AGCAGCAGCCGCGGGAAUACGAAGGGUGCAAGCGUUAAUCGGAAUUACUGGGCGUAAAGGGUGCGUAGGCGGUUGUUUAAGUCCGUUGUGAAAGCCCUGGGCUCAACCUGGGAAUUGCAGUGGAUACUGGGUCACUAGAGUGUGGUAGAGGAUAGUGGAAUUUCCGGUGUAGCAGUGAAAUGCGUAGAGAUCGGAAGGAACAUCUGUGGCGAAGGCGACUAUCUGGGCCAACACUGACACUGAGGCACGAAAGCGUGGGGAGCAAACAGGAUUAGAUACCCCCGUAGUCCCUGUCUCUUAUAC
rnacentral:rRNA from 1 species